GGGCUGAAACUUGACCCCUGCAUAGAGCUUCAUGUAGUCAUCAAAGACGAAACUCGGGUAGUCUGAAUCUUUCUCGACGAGUGAUGUAGCUGGAGCAAUCUCAGCAUCACUUCCCGGAUUGUAGAACGAUGCAAUCGACAUUCUGUUUCCUUCCUUCUGAGUCACUACACGGUGCAUCACACUCUUGUACUUGCCGUUGGUUAUCACCUACACUCAAUCAAGAUUAUACAUUGUCAGGUUAAACAAAAUAUCGAAUCGGUUUAGCUGUACCAAAUAAGAGGCUGCUCGAUCUUCCGGUUUAACUCGACUAAACCAAAACCCGAAUUUUCAAUACCAACACAUUGGUUUUUGGUUCUUGGCAAAAAAGAUCUUUUGAAAAAUGUAAAUGUGA
rnacentral:lncRNA from 1 species